rnacentral:rRNA from 1 species
UACGUAGGGUGCAAGCGUUGUCCGGAAUUAUUGGGCGUAAAGAGCUCGUAGGCGGUCUGUCGCGUCGGUCGUGAAAACUUGGGGCUUAACCCUGAGCUUGCGGUCGAUACGGGCAUGACUGGAGUUCGGCAGGGGAGACUGGAAUUCCUGGUGUAGCGGUGAAAUGCGCAGAUAUCAGGAGGAACACCGGUGGCGAAGGCGGUGGUCUGGGCCGGCACUGACGCUGAGGAGCGAAAGCGUGGGUAGCAAACAGG